CUGCUGUCUGUGAACAUAACAUUCAGGAUGUCAUCUUGAAAGCAGAGACCAAGGUCUUCACCAGAGACAGUCUGCCAAUGGCUUGAUUUUGCACUUCCCAGCCUAUAUAACUGUGGAGCCCCCAGGAGCAAACAAAAGCCUUGCUACCGCUGUCUGCAGUGGAACUGCCCUUGCUAUCCUCAGACAAAUGAAUGAACAAAUACCAUAAGUGCCUUAUCCACACCUACAACAAACUGCAGUUGACCCAAGGAGAGGAGACCAGUUCAUCUCCCACAGGUUCCACCCACUCCCCCUGCUUGUCACCAGAUAGGAAACCCUGGGCUUGGUCCCACAGCACAGACCCUCCGUUCUGGGCUGAUUGCACUUAGCAAUUGCUAACCGGCUCCUCUUGGGUGGAGCCCCCAGGAGACAAGCAAAAGACCUUUGGCCACAACCACUAUUAAGGUCCCUUCCUCUGCUGCCUCCAAGCCAGGGGAGGAACAUAAGCCCUGAGAGUGCCCCAGAGCUGUGGUGGGCAGCCCAAGAGUGCCAAGCCACAAUUUAUAGCCAGCAUUCAAGUGGGAGAGAAGCCCACACUUUCAGAACAUUGAGAGGGAGCAUGACUGCAACUGUCAGAAAAUAUAGGGGAGCCACAUGACCAAGCAAGAGCCUACCAACUAACCAGUAUGCCUAAGCACCACCUACUGGAUCACAUCCCGAAGUUCCAACACCAAAAACACCUUGCUAGCAUUCCCCUCUGUGAGACCAAAGACAAGUCAGCUACAAAUGAAGACCCUGCACAAAGCCUUGGCUCUGCGAAGACAUCCAGAAAAAAAAGUGUACUGACUGUACUCAAUCUACACUGCAGUUACAGGAACACCCACCUGCAGACAUGAGAAAGAACCAAUGAAAGAACUCCAGUAACUCAAAUGGCCAGAGUGUUGUAUGUCCUCCAGAUGACCACACCAGUUUUUCAACAAGGGUUCUUACUCAGGCUGAGCUGGCUGGAAUGACAAAUGGAAUUUAGAAUAUGGAUAGGAAUUAAGAUCAUCAAGAUUCAGGAAAAUGCAAAACCCAAUCCAAAAAAACUAAGAAUCACUGGAGCUGAAAGACAAGAUAACUGAUAUAAAAAAGAGCCUGAUGGUUCUGACAGAGCAGAAAAACACACUACAAGAAUUUCAUAAUGCAGUCACAAGUAUUAACAGCAGAAUAG
rnacentral:lncRNA from 1 species